rnacentral:rRNA from 1 species
AACGUAGGAGACGAACGUUAUCCGGAUUUACUGGGCGUAAAGGGCGUGUAGGCGGUUUGUUAAGUCUGGCGUGAAAGCUCUCGGCUAAACCGGGAGAGGUCGUUGGAUACUGGCGAACUAGAGGAUGGUAGAGGCGUGUGGAAUUCCGGGUGUAGUGGUGAAAUGCGUAGAGAUCCGGAGGAACACCAGUGGCGAAGGCGACUCGCUGGGCCGUACCUGACGCUAAGACGCGACAGCAUGGGGAGCGAACGGG